rnacentral:rRNA from 1 species
UGGUGGUUUGGAUAGUCUGGUUGAUUCCGAUAACGGUCGAGAUCGUUGCUUGGGUUUGUGAGAAUUGAUAUAGCGGUUAAAACA